rnacentral:rRNA from 1 species
UACGUAGGUGGCAAGCGUUAUCCGGAAUUAUUGGGCGUAAAGAGUGAGCAGGCGGUCUUGAAAGUCUAAGGUCAAAUGCUGCAGCUCAACUGCAGUUCGCUUUGGAAACUUCAAGACUAGAGUGCGGGAGAGGUAAGUGGAAUUUCAUAUGUAGCGGUGAAAUGCUUAGAUAUAUGGAGGAACACCGGUGGCGAAGGCGGCUUACCAGCCCGAAACUGACGCUCAGUCACGAAAGCGUGGGGAGCAAA